rnacentral:rRNA from 2 species
UGUGUAGCGGUGGAAUGCGUAGAUAUAUGGAAGAACACCAGUGGCGAAGGCGGCUACCUGGUCUGCAACUGACGCUGAGACUCGAAAGCAUGGGUAGCGAACAGGAUUAGAUACCCUGGUAGUCCAUGCCGUAAACGAUGAGUGCUAGGUGUUGGAGGGUUUCCGCCCUUCAGUGCCGGAGCUAACGCAUUAAGCACUCCGCCUGGGGAGUACGACCGCAAGGUUGAAACUCAAAGGAAUUGACGGGGGCCCGCACAAGCGGUGGAGCAUGUGGUUUAAUUCGAAGCUACGCGAAGAACCUUACCAGGUCUUGACAUCUUGCGCCAACCCUAGAGAUAGGGCGUUCCCUCCGGGAACGCAAUGACAGGUGGUGCAUGGUCGUCGUCAGCUCGUGUCGUGAGAUGUUGGGUUAAGUCCCGCAACGAGCGCAACCCUUGUUACUAGUUGCCAGCAUUAAGUUGGGCACUCUAGUGAGACUGCCGGUGACAAACCGGAGGAAGGUGGGGACGACGUCAGAUCAUCAUGCCCCUUAUGACCUGGGCUACACACGUGCUACAAUGGACGGUACAACGAGUCGCGAACUCGCGAGGGCAAGCAAAUCUCUUAAAACCGUUCUCAGUUCGGACUGCAGGCUGCAACUCGCCUGCACGAAGUCGGAAUCGCUAGUAAUCGCGGAUCAGCAUGCCGCGGUGAAUACGUUCCCGGGCCUUGUACACACCGCCCGUCACACCAUG